AACACCUGAAGCCCUAAACAGAGUAAACUAAAGCCCCAAAACAGCGUUUCCCCAAAUCAUUGUAUACCUUCUCUCUCUCUCUCUACACCUUCUCUCUCAUUCUCUCUAAACAAGCGAUUCCCCCAAAUCACUGUAAUGUAACGAUUCUCCCAAAUCCUUUAGCUUUUAUGUAAGGAGAUCAGAUUUAGGUAGCCAAGGAAUCUAAAACAGUUAGAGCAAUUCUGUAUCCUUUUGAUGUGGUGCUUUGUCUGAAAGCCAUGCCAAUUGAUAAAUCUUGGAUUAGCAAACCACGAAAUACAUUUGAAUACGCGGAUGGGCUUAGAAAAUUUCUGGAUUUUGCUUUUGAGUAUGGGUCUAUUGAUGGGCGUGUAAUUAAGUGUCCGUGUCUGAAAUGUGGUUUUAACAAGUGGCAAAGAAGAAAUGUAGUUGAAGAACACCUGACUUGUAAGCCUUUUCCAAAAAAUUAUAAAGUUUGGUAUUUGCAUGGUGAAGAAUCAAAUCCAACUAUGCCACAAAUGUUUCAGAGCACACAUGUCAUAGAAGAAACUCUGCAGCCCUAAGAUCCAAUGGUAACCAUGAUUAACGAUGCAUUUAGGUUCAUAGGGAACAAUGUCAAUGAGCCUGGUGUGUCUUGUGAGCCUAUGAAUAGUGAAGAAACAAUUAAUGAAGGCAUAAUGAAGAAUAUGCACAGUUCUAUGAGCUGGUAGAAGAUGACAAUCAACCAUUAUAUGAAGGGUGCGAGAAGUAUUUCAAAUUGUCCUUUCUAGUCAAAUUGUAUCAUAUCAAGUGUUUGUGUCGAAUGACUGGCAAAGCGAUGAGUAUGAUAUUAGAAUUGUUAAAAGAUGUCUUUGAAGAUGCCAAGAUUCCUGUUUCUUUUUAUGAGGCCAAAAAAACCACCAACAAACUUGGUCUUAAUUAUACCAAGAUCCAUGCUUGCCCAAAUGAUUGUAUGUUAUAUUUUGGGGAAGAUGAAGGCUUACAAGAAUGCAAAAGUGCAAGACAACUAGGUGGAAGGACAAUAAAAAAAGCAGCCCGCAAAGAUUUUGCGCUACUUUCCACUAAAGCCAAGGCUACAGAGAUUGUUCAUGUGCUCUAAAACUGCUGAGUCUAUGAGAUGGCAUUCUUCCGUGGGUUAUCAAGAUGGAUUGAUGAGACAUCCAAGGGAUUAUCAAGCAUGGAAAGCAUUUGACUUGCUUCAUCCUGAAUUUGCUGUAGAUCCUCGGAAUGUACGACUAGGCCUAGCUAGUGACGGUUUCAAUCCUUUUGGAGAAAUGGCAAUAAACUAUAGUAUUUGGCAUGUGGUUCUUAUUCCAUACAAUCGUCCUCCUUGGAAGUGCAUGAAACAAACUUCAUUCAUUCUUUCAAUGAUCAUUCUAGGAAAACAAAUGCCCGGCAAUGACAUUGACGUGUACUUACAACCUCUUAUCCAAGAGUUGAGAGAAUUGUGGUACGAUGGAGUGCAGACAUUAGACUCUUCAAAGAAUAAAUUUUUUAAAAUGUGAGCAGCCUUGAUGUGGACAAUUAGUGAUUUUCCUGGGCUUGGCAGCUUAUCUGGAUGGAACACAUACACUCAGUUUGCUUGUCCCACAUGUAACUUUGAUACAGACUCUUGCCGGUUGAAGCAUAGUAGAAACUGGUGUUUCAUGGGUCAAGACGAGGUGGUGGUUCUUAUAUGGGCCCAGCUAGUACUAGUGCUCUACCUCCACAAUAGGUGCAAGAGAUGGCAAAUAUGAGAUCACAAUUAAAUGCGCUAACAAGCUUAUUUCAAAUGAAAAUAGGAAAUAUCCCCGAAAAGUUUGCUCACUUAUUUCCGACUCCUUCACAGGCAAGGAACCGCACGAAGUGGAAACGUAACCAAGAACAGAGAAGAAGGUUCCGUGGGCCAUCUCCAUUUGCAAAUGCGGCGAGACGCAGCCAACUUUUCCAACAAAGAUAAAAAGAAAUGAGGUUCCUUUCAGGUUCGUGAAUCUCGGCUUCAGCUUUCCGAUAUUUUUCAUGUACUUAAUUAGAAGUAUACUCAAAGAAAAUCAAAUGAGCAGUUCACAGAAAUAAAAUAAAAAAUAUACUCCUGGUAGUAGUACCUCUAAGUGGGGAAAAAAGGUGAAAACAUAAUCAAACUAGUAUUGUUUACCCUUAAAAUUGGAUAAUAAUUAAAUUUGUGAGUGGUUUUAAGGAUACACAAAUUAGUUUGAUACAAAACGAUAAAUUAAAUUAGAAUGAACAAGUAAAUGUAUAGUGAAUUCAAACCACGCGAGGAGGAUGAUCCCAGCCUUAGUGUAAUGUUCACCCUCGAUUCGGGCUCACAGUAGCCAAUAUUGAUAAACAAGAAAAAGAGCUUUGAUAACAAUAAAAAAUAGUAAUGUAUUGCUUUGGAAUGCGUGUUACAAUGUGUGUCAUGAAUUAUCAGACUCCUUUUAUAUAGUAGGGGAGUCCUACUCUAGGUACGACUCUAUAAAAGGUAAAAAAAUCUUAUGAUUAACUGAUUGUCGGUUCUUCAUCGAUACGUGCUGAGAUCCCCGCCGUGAUAUCCGGCCGGUCACGGAUAUUACGGCCUUCUGUUGGCCGUGCUUGAUUGCCCGACAAUGUUCUUCGAAGUCAUUCAAUGCUAGGACCGGUCCCGAACCAUGGACCCGAUAUUCUCGAGGUGGGCGUCAUGCCCCCGGAUUCUGACUCGAUGAUACCUUUGCCUUGAUUUCGGUCCCUUGUCAUCAUGUCUCGCGCUUGGCUUAUCUUAUCGGAGACCGGGGUGUAACAUGAACCCGAUUUUACCCUUAUACAGAUAGUCUCCUCGUUUCUCGGAGAGUAAAUGACGAGAAAUGACAUGAGCUCUUGAUUCCUACUUCGAUACAUCGUACGAAAACGACAAAACACCUGAAAUGUCUCGUCAGUCAUGUCAUAAUGGUAUUAAAUGCAUGUCAGCCGCCGGUCGAUUGUCCCUGGACGUGAAAUGUCGCUAAACUCCUAUAAAUACCCCCUCUUUCAUUCAUUUUUUACUUCACGUUAAGCCUUCUACCCUCGUACCUUAGGAUUUCAAUAUUUUCUAUCAAUUUUACCUCUGUCACUCAAGGUUCUUUAGUACUUUGCAAAAAAAUUUACUCAUCUCCUACUCAAGCCAAUAAGUCUGAUCCUUCAACUUUCAAUCUUUAUCCAUUUUUUCCAAGCUUUUCCUUCAUUACCAUGGCAAAAACUUUAAAAUCUGUUCCUCAAAAAGGAUGUUCCUUCUUCUUCGUGGCCGACCACUGAUGUUGAGGAGACCGCUCCUGAAGUGGUUGUUCAUGAACUGGCAGAAGAUCCCCCCUUGAAAAUGUUCAUUCCUAGGGGUUUUUCGGUCACCGAUAACUUCAAGGUUGAGAUUCCUUUAUCGGUACAAGGUCGGGGUGAGGAGGCCUCGAGAUAUAUUUGCUCAAUCACCGAAGAGGUCUUCCCCUCAGUCCGAAAAGACUACAACUGGGCCGACAAAGACGUAGUGGUCCCCGACUCCGACGAAGCCAUUACUACCCAUGUCGAGGGAUAUCUAAGUGUUUACACUUAUCCCUUUACAUUGGGCCCGGUGGACCCGGUCAUCUUAGACUUCUGCAGAAGGUAUAACAUAUUCCUUGGCCAAAUUCAUCCAUCAUUGUGGAGGAUUGUGAUCCUCCUUCGAUUCUUUGUGAACAAAGUCAAUGGGUUCUCGUUUACCAUCGAUCAUUUACUCCGCUUGUACAGUUCCCGAAUCUUCUGAGGGGGACUAAUAAAGCUUGUACGCCGAGCCAGCAAAGCCCCAUUUUUUAGCAUCGACGAGGACCGAGACACGGCUGGCAAGGACGCUUUGUCUGGGUGAGGACCACUGACCUAGUACCCUCCGAGUAGAGGUUGUUCCCUGAGAGGUGGAACGUAUCAUGUAAGUAUGACUCUCUUUAAGCAUUGAUUUCAUGCUUUACCUUCCCUUUUCUUAUCAGUGUUUAUUCUGGUGCAAGCCUUGCUCGAGUUCCAAAUGCAAUUCCUUGACUCAAGGAGUGGCUUGAGGGUAUUGUGUCGCAGAUCCCUAUUUCGAGUGUUCGUGGCGCAAUCUUUUUAAAGGCCGUUGAGAGGCUCGUUCCUAUGGUAAAGUUCCUUUCUAGAGUGAGUCACAUUGAACUUCUUCCCCUAGCAUCGAGUUCUUACUUUUUAUUUUUUUCCUUUUGUAGGUUUGCCUAAGAUCGUCGAGCUUAGGCCUCCGGUCGGAGAUGAGGGCUUACUUGUUAAGUCUCCUACUUCGGGAUAGGCCGGAGAAAAGAAAAAGAGAAGGGCUCAGAGUUCCCCGAGCUUGGAGAAAAAGAAAACGAAAAGGAGGCUGGUCUGUAAACCAAAGGAAAUCUCCAGCUCCCGAGUUCUCAAAUUGGACUCGCUCCUCCGGCUCAAGGACGAGCCCGAGGAGGAUGAUCUCUUUCUGGCCCAUGAGCCGUCUGUGCCCGAGGAAUAGGCGACGACUGAGGAGUAAAUGACGGAGGCUAAUCCCUCUCAAGUUCGUGAGGCCAACGCAACAAUGAGGGUCGAGAACCCUCAAGACGCCGGUUCUGCCCCGCCCGGUGUUAUAGACAUUAUGCGAUCGCCUUCGUUCACAGAAUCAAUGUUUGAUAAAUCCCAAACGACGAAGGAGCAAUCUAACGAGGGGGUCCAUGGAGCUGGUGAUCCCCUUCGAAGCUUUUUUGACGGUGUAGACUCAUCUGACCCUAAGUACUUUACUGGUUUGGGUGAAUUAGAGGUGCCGAAGAAGAGUUCAUCCUUUAAGAUUGGCGGGCCGAGCUCGAGCCCGAGGUUGGUCAACCGGUUUUUUAGCUUUGAGCAUAUAUUCUGGUCGGAAGCGGUCCAUUGUUAUCACCAUCUCGGAGGAUGCUCGGAUUCAUUCCGCCCCUGUUGGGGUAGCUAGUUACCUCUGGUGUCUGGUAACCAACGAAGAUCAGGCAAAAAUGAAUGAGGUGGAUGCGCCAUGCCUAUUCAACGAAACGCAACAGGCGCUGAACCGGGUAAGGUGUUGAUAAAUUUUUUAUUUUUCAGCUUUAGUUCUUGAUGAUCCUAAUACUUCUUCUCAUAUUUGCAUGCCUUGGUGCUUUACCAUGAAACCUUCCUCCAGUAUUAGGAUGAGCUGAGCCAGCAUGAGGCCGAAACUAAAGAGCUUGCUGAGAAGAGAGACAUGUGCAAACUUCUCAGCGAGCAACAUGAAGGAGAGGUCAAGAGCCUUCGAGCCGAGUUGGGCACGACUCAGAAAGAACAUGCCAGAAUAGGUAAAAAUCUUUGAAGUUAGUGAUGAUGGGCUAGACACGGUGACUAAUGGUCAGAACCCGUAGGUCCAACAGAAGAUUGACCGGAUCGACCAACUACGAGCCAAGAUGGAUGUGAUCAAGGUCGAGGCCGAGGAGUGGAAAGGCAAGAUGGACCGUCUGGCCUCAGAAAAAGAGACUGCCCGGGAGCAGCUAGCCUCUGUUGAGGCCCAACUUCGAUCAAUGAGGGAGAAAGCUCAGGCCCGGUCCCAAAAAGUCGAGGACCUCCAGUCUCAAUUGGGCUCGGCUGUUGCUGAUCAGAAUACCUUUGCCAAAGAGCUUAAAGCAGCCAAGUCAGUGGCUGAAAUAACCAGGGCCGAUGCCGAUAGGAUGGUAGCCCAGUACAAAGCCGAUGUUGAGGCAGCCAGGACCGCCUGAAAGACAUCGUUGAAUAUAUGAAAUGGCAAUCCCCAAGGAAGGCCCUAGAGGAGGUUCAUGCUCGGGGUUUUGAUUUAUUAGUCGAGAUAAAAAAUGCUAAGGGAUUCGAGGCUGAGGGGCCAAGAAGUUGGCAUAUCCCCAUGACACAGAAUACUCGGAGGGUUCCGGUGGAUCUGGGGGCAGAGAGGACCCCGAUGGUCCUGGUUAUGAGGCGGGCUCCGGCGAAGACCAAGCUGCUUGGGUGCUUUGUAGAUGUUUUUGAACUUUCAGAUUUUUUGUUGAGGCCAUUUGGCCUUUGUAAAGAUCUUUUAAUAUAUAUAUACUAGGCCUUUUUCCUUCGACAAAUUUCAAGCUUUGUCGCUUUUUCUUUACAAUUGCAAAGAUUUUGAAUGCUUUAGCACGUAAUAAUUAGGUCUUGUUCGGAGGUUCAAACAAUGCUCGUUUUUGGUAUUAUUUUGCUCAAGAUACGUGGGGCCUUGGUAUGACCGGAAGCAUUUCCUGAAGUAUUUACUUAGAAUUUUUAGAUUAUGAUUUUGCCGAAGGUAGCCUUUGAACCGAUUUAGAACUUUUUGAAGGUCUUAUGUUUUGGUUACGGGUCUCAGAUGUCUCCGAGCCGUUCUAGGACGGCCGUAGCCUUUCAAGUUUAGGUGUUGGCUAAUGGGCUUGUUACCCCGAGUCAUCCGGGCUUUCCCAGGACAACAGUCCUCGAAUGGGGAUGGCCGUAACCUUUUGAAGUUUGGGUGUUGCCCGAGGGGCUUGUUACCCUAAAUCAUUCGGGCUUGCCUAGGACAGCAGUCCUCGAAUGGGGACGUCGUAGCCUUUAAAGUUUGGGCAUUGCCCAAUAGGUUUUGUUCUCCCGGGCUUUGAUAGCCCGGGUUGUCCGAACUUGCCUUGGACGGUAGUCCCCGAGCGAGGAUGAUCCUUUAGAUCCGGAUAAAGGUGACCCUUGGGUUCGGUGUCUUUUAGGGAACAAAACAUAAUAAUUUUUAGAGACAAAAUAUUUAUCUGCUAGGUAGAAACUUUCUUUCAUGUCUGUGUGUAAUAUAUAAGAUUUCAAACAUGUACAAGCUUCGUGUUAUGGCUUGGGUGGUCUAUGUGGGCACGGUUCAUUUGACCGUUUAGCCCUUAUAGUAAUUCCUAUCCACCGAGCCUAAACUUGUUCGAGCACAAAGUUUCUUUCCUUGCUAAAAUCAUUAUCCGAGGGUGAUGGCCCCCAUUAUUCGAGGCUGAUCGUAGAGAGAGCUUGGAUACUGCUGAUGUGAUCCUCGACUCCGGUUCAUAACUGAUCUUCAAUCCUAAGUUAGCACGAUCCACUAUUGCCUCGUUAAAAACCUUGCUGGAAAAUCCAUUUGGGACAAAGCCGACUCAAGGAAAAAAGAGUGCAACGCAUGCUUUCAGGCCUAAAAGUCUUAACAUUCCUUGAUCUUCACUUGCAAGUGUUAGUCCAAUAUGUAAAUAAAAUAAAUGAAUGGAGUCAUACCUCAACAGUAGUAUCAUUUUAUGUGGGUCACGUUCCAGUUGUUCAGUAGUCGCUCACCGUUUAUUACUUCGAGUUUGUACGAUCCUUUGUCGGUGAUCUUGGUAAUUCGAUAUGGACCUUCCCAAUUCGGCCCCAGCUUUCCUUCAUUCGAGUUCCGGGUGCUCAAUGUCACAUUCCUUAGUACCAAAUCCUCGAUACUGAAGUGUUGAAGAUUGGCUCUUCGAUUGUAAUACCUUUUGAUCUUUUGAUUUGUGCGGCCAUCCGGAUGAGGGAGACCUCGCGCCUUUUGUCUAACAGUUCUAGGCUCGUAUUCAAAGCCUCAUUGUUUGACUCUUCGGUCACAUUUCGGAACCUGAGACUCGAUUCUCCUACUUCGACCGGUAUUAGAGCUUCGGCGCAGUAAACCAAUAAGAACGGGGUGACCCCGGUACUGGAUUUUGAGGUCGUACGAUAUGCCCAUAGGACUUCGGGCAAGAUUUCCUUCCAUUUUCCUUUGGCGUCGGUCAACCUCUUUUUGAGAUUUUGGAGUAUGAUUUUUUUCGUGGACUCCGCUUGCCUGUUCCCACUAGGGUGAUAGGGUGUCGAUAGGAUCCUUUUGAUCUUAUGGUCCUCGAAAUACUUGCUCACUUUACUUUCGAUGAACUGCUUCCUGUUAUCGCACACAAUCUCGGAUUACAUUCUGAACCGGCAUAUUAUGUGGUCCCAAAUGAAAUCAAUAACUUCUUUUUCCUAACUUUCUCAAAUGCCUGGGCUUCUACCCAUUUAGAAAAAUAGUCAUUCAUAAAUAAUAUAAAUUGAGCCUUACCAGGUGCCCAUAGUAGGGGACCAACGAUGUCCGUUCCCCGUUCCAUAAAUGGCCAAGGUGACAAGACCGAGUGUAGCAGCUCCCCGGGCUGAUGAAUCAUCGGAGCAUGCCUCUAAUAUUCGUCACAUUUUAGUACGAACUCCUUUGCGUCCUUUUCCAUGUCGAUCUAGUAGUAGCUGGCUCUGAUUACCAUCCGAACCUAAUAUUUAGCGCCCAUUAUGAUUUUCGCAGGUGCCUUCGUGGACUUCCCCCAAGACAUACUCGAUAUAUCCUGGUCCUAGACAUAUGGCGAGUAGUCCAUCGAAUGUUCUCCUGAAUAGGGUACCGUCUUCGGACAAGCUAAAUCGGGCCGCCUUCGUACGUAGAGCUCUCAAUUCUUUAGGGUCCGAGGGCAAUUUUCCGGUCUUUAGGUAGCCUAUAUAUUUAUUUCUCCAGUCCCAAGUUAAGCUUGUUGAGUUUAUCUUGGCGUGGCCUUCUUUCACUACAGUUUUCAUGAGUUGUACGGCUGUUCCUGAGCUGGAUUCAUUGUUAUCGACCGACUAUCCCAAAUUAGCAAGAGCAUCGGCUUCGCUGUUCUGAUCUCGAGGUACAUGCUGCAAAGUCCGCUCCUUGAACCGAUGUAGGGUUACCUGCAGUUUAUCCAGGUAUCUUUGCAUUCACUCUUCCCUGACUUCGAACGUCCCAUUGACUUGGUUUACCACAAGAAGGGAAUCAUAUUUAGUUUCGAUCACCUCUGCCCCUAGGCUUUUAGCCAGUUCGAGACCUACAAUUAUGGCCUUAUCUCAGCCUUGCUGUUAGACAAUUUUACAGUCUGAAUAAAUUGUCUAACUACAUUACCUAUCAGUGGCUUCAACACGAUGCCAAGUCUGGACACAUUUGCGUUCGAAGCACCAUCCGUAAAGAGGGUCUAGAUUCCCGAGGAAGUCCCCGAGUUCAAUAACAACUCCUUUUCUACCUCGAGUAUUAGGUCCGACAUAAAGUCAGCCACAAAGUUCGCCAAAAUUUGAGAUUUAAUGACGGUUCAAGUUCGAUAUUCGAUAUCGUACCCACUAAUUUCCAUGGCCCAUUUGGCCAAUCGUCCCGAGAGCUUGGGUUUAUGUAUUAUGUUUCUUAAUGGGUAGGUAGUCACAACAUAUAUGGGAUGGCAUUGAAAAUACGGUUUGAGUUUCCUAGAGACGCUUAGCAAAGCGAGCGCCAAUUUUUCUAAGUGAGGAUACCUGGUUUUGCCCUUGCCUAGAGUUCUGCUAAUAUAAUAGAUAGGAAAUUGCAUACCUUCUUCUUCUCGGACCAGGACUGCACUUACUGCUACCUCGAAUACUGAUAAGUACAGGUACAACUGUUCGUCUGCCUUCGGAGUGUAAAGCAAAGGCGGGCUCGAGAGGUACCGCUUGAACUCCCCCAAGGCUUGUUGGCACUCUGGGUUCCAUGAGAAGUUCUUCUUCUUCUUCUUCAACAGUGAGAAGAAUUGAUGGCUCUUGUUAGAGGACCUCGAGAUUAACCGACCCAGAGCGGCUAUGCCUUCGGUUAAUCUUUGCACAACCUUGAUGUUAUACACUACGGUAAUGUCCUCUAUGGCCUUUAUUUUACCAGGAUUGAUCUCCAUCCCCCUGUUGGACACCAUGAAUCUAAGAAAUUUUUCAGAUUCGACUCCAAAUGCAUAUUUUUCGGGGUUCAGCUUCAUAUAUUAUUUCUUCAAUAUGUUGAAGGUUUCCUGCAAAUUCUUUAAAUGCUCCUCUCCACGUAGGGACUUAACCAACAUAUCGUCAAUGUAAAUCUCCAUUGAUUUUCCUAUCUGUUUUUUAAACAUCCAAUUUA